AGAGUUUGAUCCUGGCUCAGGGUGAACGCUAGUAGUAUGCUUAACACAUGCGAGUUGAACGAAGAAAUUUUUUCUUAGUAGCGUACGGGUGAGUAGAACAUAGGGAUCUGCCUUUUAGUUUAGUCUAAAAUACUGAAAUAUAUUGAAAGAUUUGUAGCUUGAUGGUUUCCACAAGUUUAAUAAUCGCUAAAAGAUGAACCUAUGUAGGAUUAGGUAGUUGGUAGUGGUAAAGGCCUACCAAGCCUGUGAUCCUUAGCUGUUCUGAGAGGUUGAUCAGCCACACUGGGCCUGAGACAAGGCCCAGGCUUCGUUGGAAGCCAGCAGUGAGGAAUUUUGGACAAUGAGCGAAAGCUUGAUCCAGCAAUACUACAUGAGGGAUGACGGCUUUUAAGUUGUAAACUUCUUUACUUGAGGAGGAUAAUGACAGUACUCAAGAAAAUAGCCCCGGCUAACUUCGUGCCAGCAGCCGCGGUAAGACGAAGGGGGCGAGCGUUAUCCGUAAUGACUGGGCGUAAAGGGUUCGUAGGCGGGAAAUUGUGUUUUUGGUGAAAAAUUAAAGCUUAACUUUUUUCGUGCCAUUUUAACUUUUUUCCUUUGAGUUUGAGAGGGGAUAGCAGAAUUUCUCAUGGAGGGGUGAUAUCCGGAGAUAUGAGAAGGAAUACCAGCGGCGAAGGCGGCUAUCUAGAUCAAAACUGACGCUGAGGAACGAAAGCAUGGGGAGCAAACAGGAUUAGAUACCCUGGUAGUCC
rnacentral:rRNA from 1 species